UGCUGCUUUUUAAAACAAGCCAUUGUCGUUUUUGCCAAUUGGUAGCUUAACUGCGAAGAUAUAGAACACUUACCCAGUUCCAAACUUGACAUAUAUUUAAAAAAAAGACAAAUAAUGCAGUUAUUUCUAAUUAGUACAGUAAGGUUUCUGGAUCGUUCUUGCUGAAGUAAACGGGCCUCCGUGUGUGUAAAAUAAUAAAGUAAAAAAGACUAGCAUUGCAGUAUUUUUUUAUUAGUACAGUAAGGUUUCUGGAUCGAUCUUGCCUAAGUACACGGGCCUACAUGUGUGUCAAAGUAUAAAGUAAAUCCUUUCAGUGUCAAGUUAGAUACGGCAAUGUAAGUUAGUGAGUAAUUUGAAACUUAAGGUCAAUUUCAACCAGGCAGGGGGGCACACGUAUACGGGAGCUUACCGCGUUUAAGUGAGAAAGUUGUUGCAAAACUUCAAAGAUGGCGUCGUUUCUUGGAUUUUCUUAAAGGAAGGGAGGAUAUUUUCACCCGAUGAUGCAGGUUAAAGGGCGAAAAUAAGUGCAUCUUUCGUUGCAGUAUAUGUAAUGAGGAAUUUUACAUCAGGGGAGGAUUGAGAUAUCAUGCCCCAUUCAUGGACAACAUGAGUUUAAAUGUAGAAUAUGCAAGAAAGAAUCCUUCAACAGAGCCGGACUAAAACAGCAAAUAAAAAACACGAACAUAACAAAACAUGUACAGCUGAUGAUUGUAGUGUUUUUGUUUUAUUUAUAAAGUCUGCAUAGACACGUCUGACAUAUAAUUGCUAUGAGUGCUACUUACUUACACGUUUUAUUCCGUAUAUGUCAUGAUGCUAGUUUCUCACUUUGUUAUGAAAAUAAACCAUCAUCUGUG